GUGUAGUAUAAUAUUACGGGGUUGUGUUCAAACGCUCCGAACGAAAACAUGCCCCAAAGUGCGUUAAAAAUUGUAAAAAUCACACAUCUAGGACGUUAAAAAAGGAGGGAAUUUCAUAUUUUCGCUAUCCUCGAGAUCCCAUGCGGUGUGAGGAAUGGAUAACUGUUAUAGCUUGUCAAAGAUGCGAGGAAUUCUAUAAACCGAACCAAGUAAGCGUUGUAUGUUCAAAGCAUUUAUUAGAAAGUGAUGAAUAUUUCACCAAUAAAGGCUUCAAAAGACUACACAAAACAGCUAUGCCUCGAAUAGAAAAAAUGUAGAAACAGUUACUGAAACUUUGAAAAGCCCUUCAUCAUCACUAAACUUUGGCUCUGCAAUACUGGACUCUCCAGAAAAUGCUAUUAUUCAAAAGGAACUUUUCGCUUGUAAGAAACUUGAUAAAACUAAAAGACAAUAAAAUAUGUCAAUUACGUAAACAAAACAGUAGACUGAAGAAAAAAUGUAGUGUUUUGAAAGGUGUCGUGAGUAUAUUAUGGCGGCUCCACACGCUUGCCACUUGUCGAAAAGUAGAACCCAAUACAAAUAGACAAAUUAGGUGAUGCAAACAGGGUUAAUGGCGCUGACGAUUGUUCAAACAUGACGAACCUCGAGGUUCAGCUAUUACUUAU